GGGCCCUUAGCUCAGUCCGGUCAGAGCGCUCGGCUCAUAACCGGGUGGUCGUGGGUUCGAACCCCACAGGGCCCA
rnacentral:tRNA from 1 species